AGAGUUUGAUCAUGGCUCAGGAUAAACGCUGGCGGCGCACAUAAGACAUGCAAGUCGAACGAACUUAACUCAUUCUUUUAGUUUGAGAGCGGUUAGUGGCGGACUGGUGAGUAACACGUAAGCAACCUGCCUAUUAGAGGGGAAUAACAGUGAGAAAUCAUUGCUAAUACCGCAUAUGCUAACAGUAUCGCAUGAUACAGUUAGGAAAGGAGUAAUCCGCUAAUAGAUGGGCUUGCGCCUGAUUAGCUAGUUGGUGGGGCAAUGGCCUACCAAGGCGACGAUCAGUAGCCGGACUGAGAGGUUGAACGGCCACAUUGGGACUGAGAUACGGCCCAGACUCCUACGGGAGGCAGCAGUCGGGAAUAUUGCGCAAUGGAGGAAACUCUGACGCAGUGACGCCGCGUAUAGGAAGAAGGUUUUCGGAUUGUAAACUAUUGUCGUUAGGGAAGAUACAAGACAGUACCUAAGGAGGAAGCCCCGGCUAACUAUGUGCCAGCAGCCGCGGUAAUACAUAGGGGGCAAGCGUUAUCCGGAAUUAUUGGGUGUAAAGGGUGCGUAGACGGAGGAGCAAGUUGGUUGUGAAAUCCCUCGGCUUAACUGAGGAACUGCAACCAAAACUACUUCCCUUGAGUGUCGGAGAGGAAGUGGAAUUCCUAGUGUAGCGGUGAAAUGCGUAGAUAUUAGGAGGAACACCAGUGGCGAAAGCGACUUUCUGGACGAUAACUGACGUUGAGGCACGAAAGUGUGGGGAGCAAACAGGAUUAGAUACCCUGGUAGUCCACACCGUAAACGAUGGAUAC
rnacentral:rRNA from 1 species